rnacentral:rRNA from 1 species
GACGAACGCUGGCGGCGUGCUUAACACAUGCAAGUCGAACGGAAAGGCCCUGCUUUUGUGCUGUGCUCGAGUGGCGAACGGGUGAGUAACACGUGAGUAACCUGCCCUUGACUUUGGGAUAACUUCAGGAAACUGGGGCUAAUACCGGAUAGGAGCUCCUGCUGCAUGGUGGGUGUUGGAAAGUUUCGGCGGUUGGGGAUGGACUCGCGGCUUAUCAGCUUGUUGGUGGGGUAGUGGCUUACCAAGGCUUUGACGGGUAGCCGGCCUGAGAGGGUGACCGGCCACAUUGGGAAUGAGAUACGGCCCAGACUCCUACGGGAGGCAGCAGUGGGGAAUAUUGCACAAUGGGCGGAAGCCUGAUGCAGCAACGCCGCGUGCGGGAUGACGGCCUUCGGGUUGUAAACCGCUUUCGCCUGUGACGAAGCGUGAGUGACGGUAAUGGGUAAAGAAGCACCGGCUAACUACGUG